GAGUGGACCCCUCGUCCACCUUUGAGCUUGGCCUUGACAGACAACACCCUUUUUGAGAUGCACGACUGGCAGCUUGUAUCGGUAAGACCCACGUCACCGGGUUUGUUCACUGGACUCGACUGCACGUAUGUCGUGCUUGGGGAUACAAAGCACAACCCCUCGGAG